GGUGCUUUGGCAGAAUGGAUUAUAUGCACUGGAGUGAAAUCCCAGAUAUCAAGGUUCAAUUCCUUGGGGCACCA
rnacentral:tRNA from 1 species